UACGUAGGGGGCAAGCGUUGUCCGGAAUCAUUGGGCGUAAAGCGCGCGUAGGCGGCCCGGUAAGUCCGCUCUGAAAGUCCAGGGCUCAACCCUGGAAAGCGGGUGGAUACUGCCGGGCUAGAAUCUGGAAGAGGCGAGUGGAAUUCCUGGUGUAGCGGUGGAAUGCGCAGAUAUCAGGAGGAACACCAAUAGCGAAGGCAGCUCGCUGGGACGGUAUUGACGCUAAGGCGCGAAAGCGUGGGGAGCAAACAGG
rnacentral:rRNA from 1 species